rnacentral:rRNA from 1 species
UACAGAGGUCCCAAGCGUUGUUCGGAUUCAUUGGGCGUAAAGGGUGCGUAGGCGGCGCGGUAAGUCGGGUGUGAAAUCUCGGAGCUUAACUCCGAAACUGCAUUCGAUACUGCCGUGCUUGAGGACUGGAGAGGAGACUGGAAUUUACGGUGUAGCGGUGAAAUGCGUAGAGAUGUGGAGGAACACCGAUGGCGAAGGCAGCCCCCUGGGCCGAUACUGACGCUCAUGCACGAAAGCGUGGGGAGCAAACAGG